AGUGAACGCUGGCGGCAGGCCUAAUACAUGCAAGUCGAACGGCAGCACAGCAGAGCUUGCUCUGUGGGUGGCGAGUGGCGGACGGGUGAGGAAUACGUGGGAAUCUGCCCAGUCGUGGGGGAUAACGUAGGGAAACUUACGCUAAUACCGCAUGCGCCCUUCGGGGGAAAGCCGGGGACCUUCGGGCCUGGCGCGAUUGGAUGAGCCCACGUCGGAUUAGCUAGUUGGCGGGGUAAAGGCCCACCAAGGCGACGAUCCGUAGCUGGUCUGAGAGGAUGAUCAGCCACACUGGAACUGAGACACGGUCCAGACUCCUACGGGAGGCAGCAGUAGGGAAUAUUGGACAAUGGGCGCAAGCCUGAUCCAGCCAUGCCGCGUGAGUGAAGAAGGCCCUCGGGUUGUAAAGCUCUUUGUCCGGAAAGAAAGCGCCGGGUUAAUACCCUGGUGUCCUGACGGUACCGGAAGAAUAAGCACCGGCUAACUUCGUGCCAGCAGCCGCGGUAA
rnacentral:rRNA from 1 species